rnacentral:rRNA from 1 species
UACGGAGGGUGCAAGCGUUAUCCGGAUUCACUGGGUUUAAAGGGUGCGUAGGUGGCUUUGUAAGUCAGUGGUGAAAGCCCGGAGCUCAACUCCGGAACUGCCAUUGAUACUGCUUAGCUUGAAUCACGUCGAGGUGGAUGGAAUAAUACAUGUAGCGGUGAAAUGCUUAGAUAUGUAUUAGAACACCGAUUGCGAAGGCAGUUCACUAGGCGUGUAUUGACACUGAGGCACGAAAGCGUGGGGAUCAAACAGG